rnacentral:misc_RNA from 1 species
AAGGAUUUUAACGGAAUAUAAGACCUUGGGUCUUAUAAACAGAACGUUCCCUGUCUUGUUUAGUUUUGAAGGAUCAUUCCUUCAAAACAUAGGAACACCUGCUAAAUGCGCCACUUCCUGUGGCAACGCAUGUGUUAGCAUGUCCUAUGCGUUGUUCUUUGAAAACUAGAUAACAGAAGUAAUUCACAUUCAAUUAGUAAUGCAAGAUAUCACGUAGUGAUUCUUUUUAAC